UACGUAGGGACCAAGCGUUGUUCGGAUUUACUGGGCGUAAAGGGUGCGUAGGCGGUUCGUUAAGUCUGUCGUGAAAUCCCCGGGCUCAACCUGGGAAUGGCGAUGGAUACUGGCGAGCUAGAGUGUGUCAGAGGAUGGUGGAAUUCCCGGUGUAGCGGUGAAAUGCGUAGAGAUCGGGAGGAACAUCAGUGGCGAAGGCGGCCAUCUGGGACAACACUGACGCUGAAGCACGAAAGCGUGGGGAGCAAACAGG
rnacentral:rRNA from 1 species